AUGUGCUUGAGCAGGCAUUUGGACCUAGGAUGGCGGGUGCAACAUCUCGGGGAGAACCAAGUCGUCGUAAUGGCAUCUCUAGCCAGAACAGUUCAGUUGGUGCACGGCGACGUGGUGGCUCGACAAGUGUGGGCAACAGCAGUAGGGUCCCCCUUGAAGCGGAGCCUGAUGGCUACAAUUCUGGGGUUGAUGAAGAGAAGCUAUAUUCUGAUGUUAUCCGGAAUUUACGACGGGCACCUCGGACUGAAAAUCAAGAUGAGGCUCACAAUGCAGUCCGUGUGGAUGAUGAUGCGAUGUGUGAGGACGAAGACCUUGCAGCUGUUGAAUGGGACCCUUUGA
rnacentral:rRNA from 1 species